GAUGAAGAACGUAGCGAAAUGCGAUAAGUAAUGUGAAUUGCAGAAUUCAGUGAAUCAUCGAAUCUUUGAACGCACAUUGCGCCCGCCAGUAUUCUGGCGGGCAUGCCUGUUCGAGCGUCAUUUCAACCAUCAAGCCCCCGGCUUGUGUUGGGGACCUGCGGCUGCCGCGGGCCCUGAAAAGCAGUGGCGGGCUCGCUGUCACACCGAGCGUAGUAGCAUACAUCUCGCUCUGGGCGUGCUGCGGGUUCCGGCCGUUAAACCACCUUCAUAACCCAAGGUUGACCUCGGAUCAGGUAGGAAGACCCGCUGAACUUAAGCAUAUCAAUAAGCGGAGGA
rnacentral:misc_RNA from 1 species